rnacentral:rRNA from 1 species
UUUUUAAAGCAAUUAAGGGCACAUGGUGGAUGCCUUGGGUCUGAGAGGCGAUGAAGGACGUGGUAAGCUGCGAAAAGCCAGGGGGAACUGCACACAAGUAUUAUAUCCCUGGAUGUCCGAAUGGGUCAACCCAGCAUGUUGAAGACAUGUUAUACCGUAAGGUAAGCCAACCCGCUGAACUGAAACAUCUAAGUAAGCGGAGGAAAAGAAAACAAAUAGUGAUUCCCUGAGUAGUGGCGAGCGAAACGGGAAAAGCCUAAACUUGAGGUGCGUGCACCUUGAGGGUUGUAGGGCUGCAUUUAGAAAGAGUCAUCAAGCGGAACCUUCUGGAAAGUUGGGCCAUAGAGCAUGAAAGCUGCGUACGCGUAAAUUGACUUGGACGAGCAGUACCCUGAGUAGGGCGGGACCGGAGAAAUCCUGCUUGAAUCUGCCAGCACCAUCUGGUAAGGCUAAAUACUCCUCAGAGACCGAU